GACGAACGCUGGCGGCGUGCUUAACACAUGCAAGUCGAACGGAAAGGCCCUGCUUUUGUGGGGUGCUCGAGUGGCGAACGGGUGAGUAACACGUGAGUAACCUGCCCUUGACUUUGGGAUAACUUCAGGAAACUGGGGCUAAUACCGGAUAGGAGCUCCUGCUGCAUGGUGGGGGUUGGAAAGUUUCGGCGGUUGGGGAUGGACUCGCGGCUUAUCAGCUUGUUGGUGGGGUAGUGGCUUACCAAGGCUUUGACGGGUAGCCGGCCUGAGAGGGUGACCGGCCACAUUGGGACUGAGGUACGGCCCAGACUCCUACGGGAGGCAGCAGUGGGGAAUCUUGCACAAUGGGCGGAAGCCUGAUGCAGCAGCGCCGCGUGCGGGAUGACGGCCUUCGGGUUGUAAACCGCUUUCGCCUGUGACGAAGCGUGAGUGACGGUAAUGGGUAAAGAAGCACCGGCUAACUACGUG
rnacentral:rRNA from 1 species